GACGAACGCUGGCGGCGUGCUUAACACAUGCAAGUCGAGCGGUAAGGCCCUUCGGGGUACACGAGCGGCGAACGGGUGAGUAACACGUGAGCAAUCUGCCCUUCACUCUGGGAUAGCCUCGGGAAACUGAGAUUAAUACCGGAUACGACCACUUCAGGCAUCUGAUGGUGGUGGAAAGUUCCGGCGGUGAAGGAUGAGCUCGCGGCCUAUCAGCUUGUUGGCGGGGUAAUGGCCCACCAAGGCUUCGACGGGUAGCCGGCCUGAGAGGGUGACCGGCCACACUGGGACUGAGACACGGCCCAGACUCCUACGGGAGGCAGCAGUGGGGAAUAUUGGACAAUGGGCGAAAGCCUGAUCCAGCAACGCCGCGUGGGGGAUGACGGCCUUCGGGUUGUAAACCUCUUUCAGCAGGGACGAAGCGAAAGUGACGGUACCUGCAGAAGAAGCACCGGCCAACUACGUGCCAGCAGCCGCGGUAAUACGUAGGGUGCGAGCGUUGUCCGGAAUUAUUGGGCGUAAAGGGCUCGUAGGCGGUUUGUCACGUCGGGAGUGAAAACUCGGGGCUCAACCCCGAGCCUGCUUCCGAUACGGGCAGACUAGAGGUAUGCAGGGGAGAACGGAAUUCCUGGUGUAGCGGUGAAAUGCGCGGAUAUCAGGAGGAACACCGGUGGCGAAGGCGGUUCUCUGGGCAUUACCUGACGCUGAGGAGCGAAAGUGUGGGGAGCGAACAGGAUUAGAUACCCUGGUAGUCCACACCGUAAACGUUGGGCGCUAGGUGUGGGAACUCAUUCCACGAGUUCCGUGCCGCAGCUAACGCAUUAAGCGCCCCCCCCUGGGGAGUACGGCCGCCAAGGCUAAAACUCAAAGGAAUUGACGGGGGCCGCACAAGCGGCGGAACAUGCGAAUAAUUCGAUGCA
rnacentral:rRNA from 1 species